UACAGAGGGUGCGAGCGUUAAUCGGAGUUACUGGGCGUAAAGGGCGCGUAGGCGGUUAGUUAAGAGUGUUGUGAAAUCCCUGGGCUUAACCUAGGAACUGCAACGCUGACUGGUUAGCUGGAGUACUGUAGAGGGUAGUGGAAUUUCCGGUGUAGCGGUGAAAUGCGUAGAGAUCGGAAGGAACACCAGUGGCGAAGGCGGCUACCUGGACAGAUACUGACGCUGAGGCGCGAGAGCGUGGGGAGCAAACAGG
rnacentral:rRNA from 1 species